rnacentral:misc_RNA from 1 species
GUAGGUGAACCUGCGGAAGGAUCAUUAAUGGUGCUUGCAGAAAUGCUUGCACGGCGGCGGCCUUAAAACGCGCCAAAUGGCACCCUUUGUUUAUGAGUACCGUUCGUUCCCUUGGUGGGUUCGCCCACCAUAGGACAAACCAUAAACCUUUUGUAAUUGCAAUCAGCGUCAGUAAAAAAAUUAAUAAUUACAACUUUUAACAACGGAUCUCUUGGUUCUG